GACCUGGCUGGGUGGUCUUGCCGAAAGGUAAGCACUGCUCUGGUCGGGUCUUUCCUUCUGGGGAACCAGCGUGCUCUUAAUUGAGUGCGCUGGGGAUCCAGGACUUUUACUUUGAAAAAAUUAGAGUGUUCAAAGCAGGCAUACGCUCGGAUACAUUAGCAUGGAAUAAUGGAAUAGGAC
rnacentral:rRNA from 1 species